AAGUGGUGGUGGCGAGUGGUAGUAAUAUGGCUUCUUAGGUGGAGUGGGAGAAGGUGGAGGAGGAGAGUGAUAAUAAUAUGGCUUCUUUGGUGGUGAAGGAGAAGGUGGUGGUGGAGAGUGGUAGUAAUAUUUUGGUGGUGGAGGUGGUGAAGGAUAGUGGUAUGGAGGAGACACCGGUGGGUACUUCUUGGGUGGUGGAGGUGAUGAGUACAAGUAGUUAUCAGCUAAGAUUUGUGUUGGCAAGCUUAGAGACACUAUAGCCAAUACAAGAGUCAAUGUUGCAGAGGCCAUUAGAGACCCCAUUGUUUUUCCCCUCAACCUCACUACAAAGUGGGGUUUUGUUAUGAUCUUUGUGAACCAAGUGCCACCCUUUAUAUAGAUUCUUUCUUUACCCCAUUCAACACCAACUAAUCAUUUUGGUAAAAAAAAAUUCAACCAUACUAAAAUGCGCAAGCAUUUUUCCAAUCAGGUGUUGUUCUCUUUCUAGUAGCAGCCUUCACUUAAUUGUUUUCAAAUAAAAAGCUAAUAAUUCAUCUCAUAAAAAUUUAUCAAUUAAAACAGAAUUUAUUGCCAAUAAGAUAAAAAAGAAAUGGAAAAUAAAUAUGUAAAUAAAUUAAAACUACAUUCCCCAGUAUUCACGUUCAUAAACAGAAAAGGC
rnacentral:lncRNA from 1 species